AUCUUCACUUGUCAGGGAGAUAUUAUGAUCAUAAAGGUUGCUGCCCCAGGGUGAGGCAUAUAUGUUGCACUCCAGAUUUGCUUACACCUGUAAUUUCUCCAAAUGCAGGAAACUCAUUUGCGUAAUCUGGGGAGUGGGGAACUGCAUUUGCACUUCCUCC